GUCGUCGGCUUGAGCACCACCAGUUCUUUCCCAAAUCUUGCAAAACCUAACCCUCAACCCCAACCACGCCACCGUCGCCACCAACCACUCGACCGCAGCGCCGGCUUCCUCCCCAAACACAGUCGCCGCCGUCCGCCUAGUCAUCGCCGAGCACCCUUCACCGCCUCGUCCCCAUCCCCCACGCACCCAGCGCCCACAUCCUCCCGAGGAAUGCCGCCGACCGCCCUCCAUCCCCACCACAACAGCGACCUCCUCCACAGGUUUCCUCCCUCGAGCAGGCCUCCUCCUCCUUUAGCUUUCUCCCCCGAGCAGGGCCUCCUCCUCCACGAGCAUCCUUACCCGAGCACUAAGUUGGGCUGCCUCCUGGUUCCCUCAUCCGAGCAGCGGACCUUCCUAUACGGCCCCUCUCCCAAGAAGCUCCACCUCCUCUACAUCCUCCCCCAGGUGCAACGCCACCUCCUUGCUCACCGAGAGCACUUGGCUAGUGAGAUUUCAAUCUUUGCAAACUUUGUUCCUUUUUUCUUCUGAGCACUAACUAGAACAACUUCAGAAAGUGUUUGAGUUUGUAUGUCACUAUGUUCUGAAGAUAACGACCAGCUUUGUCAUCCGAUAGCCCAAGUUUUUCUUAUGGUGAAGUGAUCUUCCAUUGCAGCAAAUGGAUGCUCCAACUACGUAAUAAAUCAGUGAAACCCGCUGAGAAUGACUUAUAAGUUCAUGGCAAAAGCAGCAACAUCAGUACGUAACCACAAGCAAGCUAAGGGGGUAAUAAUCUUGGUAUUUAAGUCUUAGAUUCAGUAUUUUGCUUUUUGGAUACAUGAACAUUGAAACUUAUUUAGCAUUUCGUUUCUUAUAUGCUUCAUGCAAAUAAAACUGCAGUAAAAUAUGAGCCGAGAUUUUGCUUGGCAUGUGUAUGUAUGCAUGCCCUGAAUUUGCUUAGUAUUUUUAUGCAUACAACUAUUGGAAGCUUUUACAUGUCCUGGAACUGAGCUUUUGCAUGCCCUGUGUUUUCUGAAGCUGAGUCUUUUGUUAUUGGCUAGUACUUGAAACGGAGUCGCAGGCCUCCUACCAUAUAACCAUUUAUGAAGUGCAUAUGUGAUGCCUUAUCUUGUAUUCCUACAAAGAGUCCAGUAUAUUUUUCAUGUGUAAAAAGUGGCUGACCUGGCAUUACACUGUUAAGUAUUUUGUACACAUCAGGAAUCUUGUUGUAGAUACACACUGAGCUGAAAAUGUUGCUAGCAGAAAUAGGUUUUCUGUUAGCUACGCAUCUGGUUUAAAACAUGGUAUGACUACUUGCUUUGGAAUAGUAACACCUUGAUAUUAUCUGAUCCUAUCUCAUGCAUAUUUUAGUUAUUUCUAGACAAAGCUUUAGGAACCGAGUUCACUACAACUCGAAGUCUUGUGCAUGGAGGAGAAUUGAGAUAUUUGCGCAUUCUGUACUAGUCAAAAGGUAUGUGUAGAUAUUCUGCUCAUUCUAGUUCAUGCUGCUACUUUAUUAAGGUCUUCUUUUAUGAGCCUCUACCUUGUGCAAAUAAUAUGAUUACUUAGCAGCCUGGUUUCAUAGCUUUGAAUCUCAUGUGAAUAAACUAUAUGUCUAGGUGUUUGCUGUUCUUUGCUUAACUAGAUAUGGAAGUAUAGACAACAAGCUCAUGUACAAGAUGGAAAUUAUGAUGGUUAUUUAGUUUAUUUCAUUGGUUCUCAGCAUAUUAAUUGAUUGUAACGUUCUAGCUUUAUUUAAUAAGAAGAUGUAAAAGAAACAACAAGUAAUCUCCAUUUUUUGUUCUAUAAUAUAGAUAGUUUACCAAGCUUCUUAACUUAUAGCAGAUCUACCAUCUUCUCCUUUCAGGUUGGCAUCAUGGUUGGAAGAUCUUGUGUGCUACUCUCUACACGAUAUUUCUUCUACAUGAUAGCACUUGACGUCUACAUGAUAGCACUUGAAGUCUACAUGAUGUUUCUUGUAUUCAUAGCUCAAACCAUUUGUUUAGCUUAGUUUGAACAAAAAAUAUUAUUGUCUUACAUGUAAAUAAUGUUUACUAAUGUAGCUGGAUGCUACUGAACGCAUGUACGAAAGUCAAAAUACUAAGUGUUAGUCAUUAUGUGUUUGAGAACUGCCAUUGAAUCUUGAGUGAAUUCCUGUAUGAAUAGAAAUCAAAAGAAAUAUAAAUGCUACC
rnacentral:rRNA from 1 species